GAUGAAGAACGUAGCGAAAUGCGAUAAGUAAUGUGAAUUGCAGAAUUCAGUGAAUCAUCGAAUCUUUGAACGCACAUUGCGCCCGCCAGUAUUCUGGCGGGCAUGCCUGUUCGAGCGUCAUUACAACCCUCAGGCCCCCGGGCCUGGCGUUGGGGAUCGGCGGAAGCCCCCUGUGGGCACACGCCGUCCCUCAAAUACAGUGGCGGUCCCGCCGCAGCUUCCAUUGCGUAGUAGCUAACACCUCGCAACUGGAGAGCGGCGCGGCCAUGCCGUAAAACAUCCAACUUCUGAAUGUUGACCUCGAAUCAGGUAGGAAUACCCGCUGAACUUAAGCAUAUCAAUAAGCGGAGGA
rnacentral:misc_RNA from 1 species